rnacentral:rRNA from 1 species
UAGGGAAUUUUCGUCAAUGGGCGCAAGCCUGAACGAGCGAUGCCGCGUGAGUGAAGAAGGCCUUGGUCGUAAGCUCUGUUGCGGGGGAAAAAAGGCAGCAUCAGGAAAUGGGUGCUGACUGAUGGUGCCCCG